UACGUAGGGUGCAAGCGUUGUCCGGAAUUAUUGGGCGUAAAGAGCUUGUAGGCGGUUUGUCGCGUCUGCUGUGAAAUUUCGGGGCUCAACCCCGAACUUGCAGUGGGUACGGGCAGACUAGAGUGUGGUAGGGGAGACUGGAAUUCCUGGUGUAGCGGUGAAAUGCGCAGAUAUCAGGAGGAACACCGAUGGCGAAGGCGGCAUCCUGGACCAACACUGACACUGAGGAGCGAAAGCCAGGGGAGCAAACGGG
rnacentral:rRNA from 1 species